GACGAACGCUGGCGGCGUGCCUAAUACAUGCAAGUAGAACGCAGUUUCGAACGGGUGAGUAACGCGUAGGUAACUUCCUCAUAGCGGGGGAUUACUUUUUGAAACGAUAGCUAAUACCCCAUUCUUUUAGAUGGACCUUCUUUGUAUUAGCUAGUUGGUGCGGUAAAGGCUCACCAAGGCGACGAUACAUAGCCGACCUGAGAGGGUGGACGGGCACACUGGGACUGAGACACGGCCCAGAAUCCUACGGGAGGCAGCAGUAGGGAAUCUUCGGAAAUGGACGGAAGUCUGACCGAGGAACGCCGCGGGAGUGAAGAAGGUUUUCGGAGCGGAAAGGUCUGUUGUUAGAGAAGCGGUAACUAAACAGAAAGGGACGGCUAACUACGUGCCAGCAGCCGCGGUAAUUC
rnacentral:rRNA from 1 species